UUGGAAAUGUAGGACCCUUGC
rnacentral:piRNA from 1 species